rnacentral:rRNA from 1 species
AAAUAGAUACCCUGGUACGUCCACGCCGUAAACGAUGAGUGCUAAGUGUUAGAGGGUUUCCACCCUUUAGUGCUGCAGCUAACGCAUUAAGCACUCCGCCUGGGGAGUACGGCCGCAAGGCUGAAACUCAAAGGAAUUGACGGGGGCCCGCACAAACGGUGGAGCAUGUGGUUUAAUUCGAAGCAACGCGAAGAACCUUACCAGGUCUUGACAUCCUCUGACCUCCCUGGAGACAGGGCCUUCCCCUUCGGGGGGACAGAGUGACAGGUGGUGCAUGGUUGUCGUCAGCUCGUGUCGUGAGAUGUUGGGUUAAGUCCCGCAACGAGCGCAACCCUUGACCUUAGUUGCCAGCAUUGAGUUGGGCACUCUAAGGUGACUGCCGGUGACAAACCGGAGGAAGGUGGGGAUGACGUCAAAUCAUCAUGCCCCUUAUGACCUGGGCUACACACGUGCUACAAUGGAUGGUACAAAGGGCUGCGAGACCGCGAGGUUAAGCCAAUCCCAGAAAACCAUUCCCAGUUCGGAUUGCAGGCUGCAACCGC